rnacentral:tRNA from 1 species
UGGGAAUGUAGUUCAAGGGCAGAAUGUCAGUUUGUGGCACUGAAAAUGCGAGUUCGAGUCUCGCCAUUCCCC